UGGCCAUUUUGGGUAGUCCUGAUAGCAGA
rnacentral:piRNA from 1 species